UAGGACUCUUGGCAAUGGAUAUUUUGGCUUUUGCAUCGAUGAAGAGCGCAGCGAAAUGCGAUACGUGGUGUGAAUUGCAGAAUCCCGUGAACCAUCGAGUUUUUGAACGCAAGUUGCGCCCGAGGCCAAUUGGCUAAGGGCACGUCCGCCUGGGCGUCAAGC
rnacentral:rRNA from 1 species